rnacentral:lncRNA from 10 species
UUAACUUAUAAAAAUCUUCCCCCUUAUUUGAGUAAGAGAUGUCAUGUCAAAAAAAAAAAAAAAACUCCAUCUCAAAAAAAUAAAAUAAAAUAAAAUAAAAGUAAAAAAAAAAUUUAGCAUUUGAGGUAACAUUUAACUAACCGUAUUCAUAUGUACAUGUCAAAUCACAGCAAAUGUGACAACUACUAUCAUGCAGAUUGUUACAAGACUCAUACUAUAAUCAGGGCUAUCAUGCUAAUGUGAUUUCUG